CACCUCUCAGGGUUGCAUCUGCAGUGUUUCCAGUACUCUACCAGUCUCGACUCUAGGAGGGAGAGUCAAGCAGAAGCAUACCCAUUCCAUUCUUAGCUUGAGCAGUGGCUAACGAGUGGAAGGCAAUCUGCUACAAGU